AAUCUGCACAGUGGUGUGAGUUCCCGUUACUUGCCCCAGCUCCUGUCAACUUAGCAGUUCAGAAGCAUGCAAAUGCAAGUAGAUAAAUAGGUACCACUUUUGUGGGAAGGUA